GUGUGAAGCCCGCUUGGAGAAGAGGAGGAGGCUGAAAAGAAGGCAAAGAGUGAAGAUAGAGAAACAAGAUGGAAGUGGGGGAGAAAAACAGGGAUGAGAGAAUGCCAUGGUGGUGCUGAGAAGGAAAGGAGAGACUUUUCUGCUUGUAAAGGGCAGAAGAUGGCAGAAUCCAGUGACGCAGGGGCAUCUGGCUCCAGAAAUAAUAGGUCACUUGGCACCCACUUCUUCAAAACAAAGUGGAAAAAUAAGAGGAAGGGUGCCUUAACAAUGAC
rnacentral:lncRNA from 1 species